AGAAUCAACGCUGGCGGCGUGCCUAACACAUGCAAGUCGCACGAGAAAGGGACUUCGGUCCUGAGUACAGUGGCGCACGGGUGAGUAACACGUGAAUAAUCUACCUCCGUGUGGGGAAUAACUGAGAGAAAUCUUAGCUAAUACCGCAUAACACUUACGAGUCAAAGCAGCAAUGCGCUUGGAGAGGAGUUCGCGGCAGAUUAGUUAGUUGGCGGGGUAAUGGCCCACCAAGACGAUGAUCUGUA
rnacentral:rRNA from 1 species